AAUAAAGCCUAGGCCAAACUGCACAAAUCAGAUUGACCCAGUCGACAGGAUCUGAACUUCCAGUGACCGCCCCAGGAACAGAAAGCAACUGUGUUACCAGGUCUGCUUUUCCUGGACCUGUUCCAAGCUCUCACGUUCCACAUCACACAUGGGACAUCUAGUGUCAGGCUCCCAGAGAGCAGGAACCAGGUGAAAUACAAGAGCACAGUCCUCCCAGCCGGUGACAUGGGGAUAAUUGGACAAUACAACCCCCCACCCUUUUUUAUGAAUUCAAGCCAGGAAGAAGCAGCAUUCUGUCUUCUGGAUUAAAACUGAAGAUCAACCUACUUUCAACUUACUAAGAAAGGGGAUCAUGGACAUUGAAGCAUAUCUUGAAAGAAUUGGCUAUAAGAAGUCUAGGAACAAAUUGGACUUGGAAACAUUAACUGACAUUCUUCAGCACCAGAUCCGAGCUGUUCCAUUUGAGAACCUUAACAUCCAUUGCGGGGAAGCCAUGGACUUAGGCUUAGAGGCCAUUUUUGAUCAAGUUGUGAGAAGAAAUCGGGGUGGAUGGUGUCUCCAGGUCAAUCAUCUUCUGUACUGGGCUCUGACCUCUAUUGGUUUUGAGACCACGAUGUUGGGAGGGUAUGUUUACAGCACUCCAGCCAAAAAAUACAGCACUGGCAUGAUUCACCUUCUUCUGCAGGUGACCAUUGACAGCAGGAACUACAUUGUCGAUGCUGGGUUUGGACGCUCAUACCAAAUGUGGCAGCCUCUGGAGUUAAUUUCUGGGAAGGAUCAGCCUCAGGUGCCUUGCAUCUUCCGCUUGACGGAAGAGAAUGGAUUCUGGUAUCUAGACCAAAUCAGAAGGGAACAGUACAUUCCAAAUGAAGAAUUUCUUAAUUGUGAUCUCCUAGAAGACAGCAAAUACCGAAAAAUCUACUCCUUUACUCUUGAGCCUCGAACAAUUGAAGAUUUUGAGUCUAUGAAUACAUACCUGCAGACAUCUCCAGCAUCUGUGUUUACUAGUAAAUCAUUUUGUUCCUUGCAGACCCCAGAUGGGGUUCACUGUUUGGUGGG
rnacentral:sRNA from 1 species